GACGAACGCUGGCGGCGUGCUUAACACAUGCCAGUCGAACGGAAAGGCCCUGCUUUUGUGGGGUGCUCGAGUGGCGAACGGGUGAGUAACACGUGAGUAACCUGCCCUUGACUUUGGGAUAACUUCAGGAAACUGGGGCUAAUACCGGAUAGGAGCUCCUGCUGCAUGGUGGGGGUUGGAAAGUUUCGGCGGUUGGGGAUGGACUCGCGGCUUAUCAGCUUGUUGGUGGGGUAGUGGCUUACCAAGGCUUUGACGGGUAGCCGGCCUGAGAGGGUGACCGGCAACAUUAGGACUGAGAUGCGGCCCAGACUCCUACGGGAGGCAGCAGUGGGGAAUAGUGCACAGUGGGCGGAAGGCUGAUGCAGCAACGCGGCGUGCGGGAUGACGGCCUUCGGGUUGUAAACCGCUUUCGCCUGUGACGAAGCGUGAGUGACGGUAAUGGGGAAAGAAGCACCGGCUAACUACGUG
rnacentral:rRNA from 1 species